GAACUCAAUUUGUCCUCCUGCACAGUUUUGGCAAGAAAAAGCCAUCUGAAGGCAUAAAUAUACAUUGAGCAUCAGUCUGUGGUUUAUGGCAGAGAACCUACGCAACAAACAACAAACGUCUACGUAUUACAGCAAAAGCCUACGCUAAAAGGAAAUCGCACACUUAUACGUAGAUAUGUUUAUUUGUGUUGCCAUUGUGGGCCGCUCUCACGCUGAACUACAGGCCUGAGAGGAAGUUUCCAGUGCGGUUACCAUGACGAGGGUCUUGGAGUACAGGAAGUUCAGUGCUAAGAGAAAUGACAUCCGAGAGGGACCCAGACAAACAUUUGUCCAGAUGAACUGGGGUAACAGGAUUGUGUUUGGACAGGAGCUUCUCUCCGCAGGGAACAAGCUGUAGAAACAAGCUGAAGAAAUUGAGAAAUUCAUGAAAAUGUCUGUUUCCGACUGGAAUGAAGAUUUUACAGGCAAAACAAAGAAAAGCCCCCUCGGCUGGAGAGAGAGAGAGGGAUGGAAUGAGAAAGAGAGCUAGUGAAACAGUGAGUCAUGAGUGCAGCUUUGAACAACAAGGGGAAAUCCUCCUAUUGAGAGGCAUGUGCUAUGGAAACACAUCACUCAUAGAGGUAACGGAACCGGAGGCCACACAUAAACCAAAACCUUUAGCCAUUUAUCUGGAGUCUUGACAUUGUGUCAUGCAAAACAGUAGCAAUUUUAAUAACAGACAACUGUGAUGCGUUAGCAAUACAUACUUCAUUUCAUGAACGUUUUAAUAUUCUAAAAGGAUUUUUGUUGUUUUGUAGAAAUUAUAUGGCAUUCAAAGUGCAUGUACAGUACAUAGUGUUCUUGAUCGUUCCGAUUAAUAUGCAUAUUCUUGUAAAAUGUGUCUUGAGUUCUUCUUGAAGUGAUUCAAAUUUGUGGUUUUUCACACUAAAAUACUAACAGCUCAUCAAGAAGCCUACACAAUGGAGCUAUUUAGGGAAAUUUCACAUGAAUGUCAUAUGUAAGUAUUCACCCUGUACUUUCUGUUGCAGCGCUUGAGCUAGCACUUUACGUGCAGGAAACUCAGGGGAAAGCUCCCCAUUUGGGUUUAACAUUAAAAAGAAACGUUUCCUGUUGCUUAUCAGUGUUUCUCUCACAUUGUUCUCAUUUGCAUAAUUUCCACUCUGAUGUUAAAAAUCAGGGUUUUUAGGGCCCCAAGAGUCAGUUACAUCAUAUAAUUUUGAGACUUUUGUUCUGGUUUAACAGAAAUUAAUAUAAAGAUGUCAACAGGAAGUGUGCAUGUACUUGAAUGGCUGAAAAUGGGAUGUAUUUUUCAACUGUUUGUAUGCAGAGAGGUGAUGAAAUGUUAAUGAUGAAUAAAUUUGUUGAUAAUGAUUACA
ensembl:lncRNA